UGGGGAAUAUUGGACAAUGGGGGCAACCCUGAUCCAGCCAUGCCGCGUGAGUGAUGAAGGCCUUCGGGUUGUAAAGCUCUUUUGGCGGGGACGAUGAUGACGGUACCCGCAGAAUAAGCCCGGCUAACUUCGUGCCAGCAGCCGCGGUAAGACGGAGGGGGCUAGCGUUGUUCGGAAUUACUGGGGCGUAAAGCGAGUGUAGGCGGUUGCCGUAGUCAGGUGUGAAAGCCUUGAGCUCAACUCAAGAAAUGCACUUGAUACUGGGUGACUAGAGGACCGGAGAGGAUAGUGGAAUUCCCAGUGUAGUGGUGAAAUACGUAGAGAUUGGGAAGAACACCAGUGGCGAAGGCGGCUAUCUGGACGGUUACUGACGCUAAGACUCGAAAGCGUGGGGAGCAAACAGGAUUAGAUACCCUGGUAGUCCACGCCGUAAAACGAUGGGUGCUAGACGUUGGCGAGCUUGCUCGUCAGUGUCGCAGCUAACGCGUUAAGCACCCCGCCUGGGGAGUACGGCCGCAAGGUUG
rnacentral:rRNA from 1 species